UACGUAGGGGGCAAGCGUUGUCCGGAAUCAUUGGGCGUAAAGAGCGUGUAGGCGGCUCGGUAAGUCCGCUGUGAAAGUCCAGGGCUCAACCCUGGAAUGCCGGUGGAAACUGUCGAGCUUGAGUCCGGAAGAGGCGAGUGGAAUUCCUGGUGUAGCGGUGAAAUGCGCAGAUAUCAGGAGGAACACCAAUGGCGAAGGCAGCUCGCUGGGACGGUACUGACGCUGAGACGCGAAAGCGUGGGGAGCGAACAGG
rnacentral:rRNA from 1 species